rnacentral:rRNA from 1 species
AUGAAUGAAAUAAAAUGCAUGUCAAUUAUGUGGGGAGAGAGAAUCAUGCAUGCCAGGUCAGCCUCUCCAUUCCAACUCUCUCUUUCUCUCCUAACAAAGUUGCAUGGCAUGCAUGUAUUUGAUCAGAUUAUAAGAGGUGUAGUAUAUACUCUGACAGAAUGCACGAAUCUUGACGAAACUAGGUGGACGGCGGAUGGUGGGUGGACUAUCUUUGAGAUCCUGCGGUACAUGUCGGAGCAUAACUGGUCGGCGUCCGAGGAGGCCCUCAAUGCCAAUCUGGUUCUUGCCAAGAUGAUAAUCAACGGCGUCGUCUACUCCCUCGGCGACUGGAUAGCACAAAUGCCAAUCCAGUCCAAUUACCCCUCGCUGACUGAUUCUAAUUCGGUUGUUCUUGUUUGUGUUGCUCCUGCUUAUUUACAGUGUUACGAAGGGAAUCACAUCUCCGAGUUUGACCGUACUCGUAUGUUCCGGUCUGGCCUCAUAGGGUUCACCCUCCAUGGAUCCCUUUUGCACUAUUACUACCAUUUCUGCGAGGUGCCCAUUGUGGUUCUUAGCCUGACUCAUAGAUAUUUUCUUGCAUCAUCGUUGUUCCCGUUCAAGGAUUGGUGGGCUGUGCUUGUCAAGGUUCCGGCUUUGUCUGCACUGUGGAACAACAUCUACUUUGUCACCUUGGGCUUCCUUCGCUGGGAAUCUCCCCCACCAUAUUCAGCGAGCUCAAGGGUAUUACCUUCGAUGCAAUAUAAUUUCUUAUAUAAUGAAAGGACAGUCUCAUAUGAGAAAAGUUUAUUCAUGACUUGUCUUUGUCUCGUCGAAAUGGUUGAUUUUGAUAUAAAAAUCAAGCAAACUAGUGAAUUCACAAACAGCAGCAGCAACACGUCUAUCCUCAGGAUGUACAAAUAUCUUCAUGAAGACAUGUAG